rnacentral:rRNA from 1 species
CCUACGGGUGGCAGCAGUGAGGAAUAUUCGUCAAUGGCCGGAAGGCUGAACCAGCCAUGCCGCGUGAAGGUCAGUGCCCUAUGGGCGUUAAACUUCUUUUGUGCGGGAGCAAUAAUGGUCACGUGUGGCCAGACGAGAGUACCGUAAGAAUAAGCAUCGGCUAACUCCGUGUCAGCAGCCGCGGCAAUACGGGGGGUGCAAGCGUUAGCCGGGUUUAGUGGGUUUAAAGGGUGCGUAGGCUGUGAGGUAAGUCAGCGUGUAAAUGCCCCCGCUCAACGGGGUGAAGUGCCAUUGAUACUGACUUGCUUGAAUGCGGAUGCCGUGGGAGGAAUGUGUGGUGUAGCGGUGAAAUGCAUAGAUAUCACACAGAACACCGAUUGCGAAGGCAUCUCACGAAUCCGCGAUUGACGCUGAUGCACGAAAGCGUGGGUAUCAAACAGGAUUAGAUACCCGGGUAGUC